CUUGGAAGAAGCGAAGCCAACAGCAGUGCAGCUGCCUGCUAACAAAAGAGUGAGGGGGCCGAGCGGAGACAGCGUGCCAGCUCCAGCAGCACACCCUGGGCCUGCUGCAGCGCGGAGCUCCAAGCUAAGAGCGAGAAGACGCCAAGAGAAAGAGAGGAGAGGGGAAUCGAUGAAGGCUGCCCUCAGAGCUGCCGCUGCACGUGCAGAGGCCUCCGCAGUGAACAGCCUUGUGGAGAUGAUGCAGAAGCUGCAGCUGAAGGACUGAGAGGAGGAGCGUCAGCAGGCAGCGGCUGCAGUGCGCGGCGUUACAGGGCAGCGCUGCGAGUGCCGCCCAACUCGGCCCUCCAACUUCAGAUGGAGUCAAUAAAAACCAGUCACAAUGAGAGAUUCACACAGAGCGCACGGCCUCAUUUGUCCAGCGGCACUCGGAGAGCUGCUGCACCACCUCCUCGUUAUUGGUCUCGCGGCGCUCGCUCAGAACUCCCACAGCUCCGUCAGCGAAUGCUGCCAUCCAGUGAUGCAGU